rnacentral:lncRNA from 1 species
GCGCCCGCCGCGUGCCGAGCGCCGGGGGAGAUACGGGGUCCCCCGCGGGGCUCACAUUUUUCAACGUCGGUAUCCCUUAGGCGCCGACCGCGUGCCGAGCGCCGUCCCGAGCGCCGGGGCGAGACGCGGGGGGGGAUCGGGUCGUCCCCCGUGAGGCUCACGGCGAAUCCCCACUCCGCGGAUGAGGUCGCCGAGGCCCGGAGGAGUCACGCGACCCGCCGGGAUCGGGACCCACGACCUCCGACCCCCAGGCCCGGGCUCCUCCGUUCCCGCGUCCGCCGACCGCGUGCCGAGCGCCGUCCCGAGCGCCGGGGCGAGUCGCGGGGGGGGAUCGGGUCGUCCCCCGUGAGGCUCACGGCGAAUCCCCACUCCGCGGAUGAGGUCGCCGAGGCCCGGAGGAGUCACGCGACCCGCCGGGAUCGGGACCCACGACCUCCGACCCCCCAGGCCCGGGCUCCUCCGCUCCCCCGACCGCGUCCGUCGAGCGCGUCCCACGCGCGGAGCCCCGUAGCGAGCGACCUCUCCGCCGGGCCGCGCCGCGCCCCAUCGCGCCGGGACCCUCGCCGCCCGUGUCCGUGUCCCCCCGAGCAGGAGCGGGAGCCGACGCGGGCCCGGCUCCCCGGGUCCCUCGUCGGUCCCCCUGCGCGACCUCGCGCCUCCCCGGCUCUGGGCGACUCCCUUUCCCUCGACGUCGUCCCCCGUCCCCGAUUCCCCGGGGGGUGGGGGGGUUCCCGCGUCCCUCCGGCCCCCCCCGUGACCGCGUCCCCUCGCGUCUCCCGGUCUCUCCGGGGGCCUCUCUCUCCCUCCCGGGCCCCCGGGUCCGUCCGUGAACCGUCGUGGGCCUGCUGUCCCCCCGGUGUGAGUCGCAGACAAAGGAGGAGGGGGAUGGAGGGAGGGAGGAGGAGGGAGGGAGGAGGAGGGAGGAGGAGGAGGGAGGAGCAGGAGGAGGAGGAGGGCCCCCGGCGCCCCCCGCCCCGGCCCGGCGAUUCGCUGUCGUCUCCGGGCUCGGGGCGCGUCACGGGCGGGCGGCGCCGGGGGAAGAAGCUGCGGGGAAACCGGGCGGCCCCCCGGCCUCGCCCCUCGCUCUCUCCGUCUCCGUCCGUCGGUGCCCUCGCCGCCCCCCCCCCCCCCCGCCCGCCGCGUCCGCCCCUCUGGGGGGCGGGGGAUGGAGGGAUGGAGGGUCGGGGGCGCCGGGGGGCCGGCCGCGCGCGGGAGCCUCCGUGUCUGCGGGCGGGAGGGAGGGAGUGA